rnacentral:rRNA from 1 species
UUGACCUCGGAUCAGGUAGGGAUACCCGCUGAACUUAAGCAUAUCAAANCGCGAA